AGAAUUUGAGAUUUCAUUCAACUUAAAAGCUUGUUUUAAUUCAAAGAGACUUUUUGCUUUGGAUAAGUAAUGGAUCAUUAAUUCUGUCCAAUAUACAUUUUUUAAGUUGAUAAAAAAGUAAAUUAAUUACUUGUAACAAGUUGAUGCCUUUUUUUUUUUUUACUUUGAUCCAAAGAAACAUUUUUUUCAGUGUGAUGUAUACAAUAUGAUUGUGUAUACAUCAUCAUGCCCAAAGAUUAUGAAUAAGUCCAGCUUCACAUAGCGGCUGGAAGCAAAUUAGCUCAGAAGCCCAUACUGAUUUUUAGCUACUAGCUAAAGUUGGUUAGCUAGCUCACUGUAAAAUUCUGAUAAAAUUCUUCUAGGUGUCUAGAGGACGUCACCUUACAACUUUGCCUUUAUUUUAUUAUAUGCCUUUACAAUUAUUUGAAAAGCAGGGUUUUACUGUGUUCUGAUACAGAAGUGUGAUUAUACUUACACCACAGCGAGUUAUCAGGUUAAAAUAUAAACUUCUGGUAAUUGUAGUCAGUUACUGACCCAGCCCAAGAACAGUUUUACAGUGGGAUACAGGAGAAAUGUAGUCGAUUUUCUAAACCUUUAUAUAAACCACUAGAACAAACAAUAAAACACAGACAAACACCUGAAGUUUCUGCAUCUCUGUUGUCGCGAGGGUUGUUGAGCUUCUCCAAAAGGCUCGAGCAGAGUUUGUUCAGAGUCUGGAUCCGUUUCUGUUUACAUAAACCAACAGUCACAACUAAUAUUAUACAAAAAUCACAACUAAUAUUUUAGUCCUUCAGCUAAUGCAACAAAUUAAGGCCAAACAAAAGGUAAAAAUUAUAAAAUGAUUCACAAAAAUGUCACUCAGUGUACAUGAUCUGUCAACUAAUAUAUAUGUAUGCAUGUGUGUAUGUCAAUUAAUGUAUAUUAAUGUUCAAUAUACACCGUUUAAAAGUGUGGAAUUAAUGUUGUUCCUAAUAAUUUAUUGUAGUUAUUGUUUUUUUUGUAUUUAUUUAAUGUAGUUAUAAUAAGUUAUUGCAGACGAAGAUGUGAAACAACUCCAAUAUUAAAUGGAACUGGAUUACUUCAUAAAUUUAACAUCAUGGUUAGGAAACUGUUAUAUUGUAUAAGUAUACAGUAGUGCUGGAAAGUGCUGGAAAUGAUUCUCUAAUCACAUACGCCUGUUCCCAAUCACACUCACAAUCACACCACACUUUAAAAGAGACUGUUCAUUCACUAUACUUUUGUGAAGUAAACCUGCAGUUGAUCUAAUCUCUGUCGUUGCCAAGCCGUUCUAUUGUGUUUUACUUCUGAUUCUGUUUUGCCCUUGAUUCUGAUUACCUGCCUUACCUGCUCUAGUCUGUUUUCCUGAUCGCCUAACCUUUGCCUGUCUUCGUUGUUGAUUUUGCCAUUACCUUUGGAUUAUAUACUCUUCAAUAAAAGCUCUUAACUGCAUUUGCAUCCAUCCUAAACCUCAUUACAUGACAAAAUACAUAUUAGCCUACAUGUUCCACAAGUUACUAAUCUUAUUUGCUUACAUGCUUACUGUAUCAUUGUAUGCCCCAUAUUGAGAAAUAAAUACAAACACAUUGUCUACUUUAUUAAUCACACCUAUACUUUAAUUACGUUCACCUUACCCCACAGUCAGUGCUCAGUUCCUACUUCAAUACUAUUAUAGUUCUGCAUUAUUUAAGACAAAUAUAUAAUAAAGCAUUUCUUUAUUUCUUAUUGUUUUUGAGCACAUACUGUUAGCUUAUUUAUCAAAUACGAAUAUAUUUACUGAAACGUUAAAAUCAAUAGAAUUCCAAUACAAUGUUGUUUCUGCCGUAGGAAUGUCUCAGUGAAGCACUAAAUUGAUAAAGAGUGGUGUAAGAAUGUUUAUUGUCCAGCAGUCAGUACAGAGCUAAUUGUCAAAUGUUUUAAUGCUCGGAAUCAUUUUCACUUCAAAUGUGUUACUGUAUUGCUUGGUUCUGCACAUCACUGGGAUAAAUAUAUACACUUGAUCAUUUUUGUUCAUUCAUUCUGUGAGAAAUUUUUUGCUCGUACUAAUGCUUAAUCACACAAUUUAAAAAAUUCCAUCAGAGAGUUUGAAGAAAACCUUCCCAGUGAUCUGAUACUUCUCUACAAUGUUAGGUGACUUUCCAGAGGCAAUGUAAUAUCUCAUUUUCUUGAACUUUUGAAACCAGAGAGUUCCUGGAAGAAAAGCACUAGGACUAUUCUGAACUCUCUGAAUUUUUGAUUUGGUGGACACAAUGAAACUUGAUCUCCAAGGGAAUGUUAAAGAUGCUGCCUGACCUGGUGCAAAUAAUAUUUGCAUCUGUCCACAAACUCAAGCUAUUCAAGAUGCAUUUUUAAAAGGGAGAACUAACACAUUCUUCUUCUGUGUUAAAUGCAAGCACAUCAGAUUAUUGAAUUUUCUGAAGAUGAGAGACUCAAGUCUGUUCUGAGGGAGGGAACCUCAAUGAAGAAGUAUGCCAAUGUAAAACAAGUUGCACUGAGACUAUGUUUGGGGCAAACUAUGUUUGUGAAUCAGUUUUAUUUACACUGAAAUGUGAAAUCAAAGCUUCAGUACUUCCAUGCAGAAGGAAGUGACUGCAUCCUUAAUCACUCCACAAUCAAACUCACACAAUCAAUAAUAUGCAUGCAAUCAAAACGAUACUCUAAUUAAAUGUUCACUGAAAAUAAAUAUCCUGCUUAAAAUAAAUAACUCUAUGGCACCUUUAAAUGCCGGGAACAGGAUUAUGUGUCUUUCGAGUUUAGUGACAUAGGGAGCCCUCUGCAUUGGCCUAUUAAUAAUGUUUUAGGGUUUAGGACAAGUUUUUAGUGUUAAAGUUUAAAUGGUCAGACUAAUAACAGGUUACUAUGAUGAUAUAUAGUGGCCCCAAAACAUAUUUGGACACUUAAAAACAACAUGGCAAACCAAGUGGAAUUUAUUUAAAUAAAUAUAUAUAUAUACAUACCAUUUCAAGCAAAAUAUUUCCUUAAAAAUAUAUUAUGUUUAAAAAUCUAAAAAGAAUAGCUGUACUGUUCAAAAUGAGACAAAGAUGUAUUCCUUUCUUUAAAAUAAAUGCCACUUGGUUUGACAUGUUGUUUUCUAAUGCAGUGGAAUUUGUACAAGAAGUAUCCAAAUAGUUUUUGAGAGCUCUAGUUCUAAUUCUAGAAUGUAAGCAUCAAACACCAAAUGAUCCUGCAGAAGAACUGAAGUACAACAAUGAGCCACAAACAAGAGGACUGCUACUUCUUCUUUGACUGUACAUGCACCAAGGGUUAUGGAAAGUUUUGAAGUGUUCUUGUUUCUUCUGAAAGGGGGAUCGAUGUCCUUUCCGGCACUGUGAAGCCGCCAAGGGUAGUAGGAUAGUGUGUAAAUUCUGGCUACAGAACCGAUGCUUAAAGAAGGCAUGUAGAUUUCGGCACACGUACGUCAAGAAAAACCACAGAGAAGUCCAGAGCAACUGGGAAAAGCAGCCAGGCGGUUGCCAAAAGCCACAGACCAUCAGACAGCACACUGUUCUCCAGGCUAAAAGUAAAACUCCACAUGAAGAUAUUCUUGCAAAUCACCAUCUGAUGUGACAUCUGGCCAGAAGAAGAAACGCUCAGGGAACGUUUGCUCGGCUGAUGCUGAGCAACCUCACUGCAAGCAUUUUAAGAAAAACCACAGAGAAGUCCAGCGCAACUGGGAAAAGCAGCCAGGUGGUUGCGGAAAGCCACAGACCAUCAGACAGCACACUGUUCUCCAGGCCAAAAGUAAAACUCCACAUGAAGUGGGCUGCUUUACAGAGUCUCCAGCUUCUGAGAAAUUGAAGGAAAAUCCAUCACCUUCUGAUGUGACAUCUGACCAGAAAAGGAAAUGCUCAGGGAACGUUUGCUCGGCUGAUGCUGAGAAACCUCACUGUAAGCGUUUUAAGCUGGAGGACAUUGCGAACACCCAUUUAAGUGCUUGUCAGACUGUAAUGGUUCCACCUCGAAAGAACAACAAAGCAGUGAAACUGGCCGUGAGAAGGAAACCAUUUAAAUCUUCACAAAUCCUGCAGCUAUGACUACUACGAGUGAUCCACAAUGUGAUAUCUGAUUUAGGAUUUUAGGUCAGAUUCACAUGUGAGCUGUUUCCAGAGCCAGGGCUGUUUGCUCUGAAAGUUCAGUACACGACUCAUGUAUAAUUACUUACCACAUGCUCAGUAUCUCCUGCACCCUGUGUGUCUAUGAUGGUUUCUGGUCAGGCUAUCUGAUAAACAAUCUUAGAUAAAUUAAACCAGGUCAUGUGACCCCGAUACUCAAACCAGAACAAACUCUGAUAUAUGAUUAUAGCCUUGGGUGAAAACUUUUACUCAUUCUCCCUAUAGGAUGCCAAAGAGAAUGUAUCUCAUAGUGCAUGUUCCUUGUUCAUUUUUUUGGUUUAAAUCAAUUUAAUUGAACAAUGCCUGUUUAUGUGUUUAUUUUGUGUGUUUGUGUGUGUUUCUUUUUUAAACCUGUUCAGAGUUCAUUGCAAUUUACUUUUGUUGGUCCUUCAUUUUUAACCAUGCAAAUAAAACACACAUUUAUUGUUA